rnacentral:tRNA from 1 species
GCCGGCGUAGCUCAGCGGUCAGAGCGUGCGGCUCAUAACCGCAAGGUCCUGGGUUCGAUCCCCAGCGCCGGCACCA